UCUUAUCAAGAGAGGCAGAGGGACUGGCCCUAUGAUGCCCGGCAACCCGAUUAUUUUCAAAGGUGCCAAUUCCAGCGGGUUAUAUAAUUUGCCUGAAAGAUGAGA
rnacentral:ncRNA from 1 species